GACGAACGCUGGCGGCGCGCCUAACACAUGCAAGUCGAACGAGCGAGAGAGAGCUUGCUUUCUCAAGCGAGUGGCGAACGGGUGAGUAACGCGUGAGGAACCUGCCUCAAAGAGGGGGACAACAGUUGGAAACGACUGCUAAUACCGCAUAAGCCCACGACCCGGCAUCGGGUUGAGGGAAAAGGAGCAAUCCGCUUUGAGAUGGCCUCGCGUCCGAUUAGCUGGUUGGUGAGGUAACGGCCCACCAAGGCAACGAUCGGUAGCCGGACUGAGAGGUUGAACGGCCACAUUGGGACUGAGACACGGCCCAGACUCCUACGGGAGGCAGCAGUGGGGAAUAUUGCACAAUGGGGGAAACCCUGAUGCAGCGACGCCGCGUGGAGGAAGAAGGUCUUCGGAUUGUAAACUCCUGUUGUUGAGGAAGAUGAUGACGGUACUCAACAAGGAAGUGACGGCUAACUACGUGCCAGCAGCCGCGGUAAAACGUAGGUCACAAGCGUUGUCCGGAAUUACUGGGUGUAAAGGGAGCGCAGGCGGGAAGACAAGUUGGAAGUGAAAUCUAUGGGCUCAACCCAUAAACUGCUUUCAAAACUGUUUUUCUUGAGUAGUGCAGAGGUAGGCGGAAUUCCCGGUGUAGCGGUGGAAUGCGUAGAUAUCGGGAGGAACACCAGUGGCGAAGGCGGCCUACUGGGCACCAACUGACGCUGAGGCUCGAAAGUGUGGGUAGCAAACAGG
rnacentral:rRNA from 1 species